CGUGUAGGCGGCCUGCUAAGUCGGACGUGAAAUCCCUCGGCUCAACCGGGGAACUGCGUCCGAUACUGGCGAGGCUUGAAUCCGGGAGAGGGAUGUGGAAUUCCAGGUGUAGCGGCGAAAUGCGUAGAUAUCUGGAGGAACACCAGUGGCGAAGGCGGCAUCCUGGACCGGUAUUGACGCUGAGGCGCGAAAGCUAGGGUAGCAAACG
rnacentral:rRNA from 1 species